UUCUUCCCAACUCCUUUGGAAAACAAAAUACCAAUGUUUAGGUAGGAUUUUCUUUUCCUUCACCUUUGGGAAGUCAAAUUCUCAUGGAAAAGAUUUUCCAUCCAACCAAACAAGAUAAUUUUUCAUUUUC